rnacentral:rRNA from 1 species
AACGAACGUUAGCGGCGCGCCUAACACAUGCAAGUCGCACGAGAAAGGGCUUCGGCCCCGGUAAAGUGGCGCACGGGUGAGUAACACGUGGGUAAUCUGCCCUUGAGCGGGGGAUAACAUUCCGAAAGGAGUGCUAAUACCGCAUAAGACCACGGCUUCGAAAGGAGCAGCGGUCAAAGCUGGCCUCUGUACACAAGCUAGCACUCGAGGAUGAGCCCGCGGCGCAUCAGCUUGUUGGUGAGGUAAUGGCUCACCAAGGCUAAGACGCGUAGCUGGUCUGAGAGGAUGAUCAGCCACACUGGAACUGAGACACGGUCCAGACUCCUACGGGAGGCAGCAGUGGGGAAUCUUGCGCAAUGGGCGAAAGCCUGACGCAGCGACGCCGCGUGAGUGAUGAAGGCCUUCGGGUUGUAAAGCUCUGCGGGGAGAGACGAAUAAGUGCAGCCUAAUACGUUGCAUGAUGACGGUAUCUCCUUAGCAAGCACCGGCUAACUCUGUGCCAGCCGCCGCAGUAAUAC